CCCUAGGCUUGAACAGCGAGUGACCCGCGACGAAAGUCGCCUUCCGCAAGGACACUCGUAGAGGUGCUGCAUGGCUGUCGUCAGCUCGUGUCGUGAGAUGUUGGGUUAAGUCCCGNAACGAGCGCAACCCUUGUUUGCUGUUGCCAUCAGGUAAAGCUGGGCACUCUGCAAAGACUGCCGGUGAUAAACCGGAGGAAGGUGGGGAUGACGUCAAGUCAGCAUGGCCUUUAUGUCUGGGGCUACACACGUGCUACAAUGGCCGGUACAAACCGUCGCAAAACCGUAAGGUGGAGCUAAUCGGAGAAAGCCGGUCUCAGUUCGGAUUGUAGGCUGCAACUCGCCUGCAUGAAGUUGGAAUCGCUAGUAAUCGCGGAUCAGCACGCCGCGGUGAAUACGUUCCCGGGCCUUGUACACACCGCCCGUCACAUCACGAAAGCCGGUUGUACUAGAAGUCGCCACACCAACCCGCAAGGGAGGGAGGCGCCUAAGGUACGGUCGGUGAUUGGGGUGAAGUCGUAACAAGGUAAGCGUAGAUGA
rnacentral:rRNA from 1 species